AGCAGCCGCGGUAAUUCCAGCUCCAAUAGCGUAUAUUAAAGUUGUUGCAGUUAAAAAGCUCGUAGUUGAAUUUCGGGAUCAAUUUAUUGGUCGUGCUAUUGUACGUACUGGUAUUAUUGAUUCCUACCUUCUGACGAACCAUGAUGUCAUUAAUUUGGUGUCUUGGGGAAUCAGGACUGUUACUUUGAAAAAUUAGAGUGUUUAAAGCAGGCUCACGCUUGAAUACAUUAGCAUGGAAUAACGAAAUAGGACGUUUGAUUCUAUUUUGUUGGUUUCUAGGAUCGACGUAAUGAUUAAUAGGGAUAGUUGGGGGCAUUAGUAUUCAAUUGUCAGAGGUGAAAUUCUUGGAUUUAUUGAAGACUAACUACUGCGAAAGCAUUUGCCAAGGAUGUUUU
rnacentral:rRNA from 1 species